rnacentral:tRNA from 2 species
AGCUAGGUGGUGUAGCGGUCAAGCAUCGGGGCCUCUGGAGUCUCGGACGGCGGUUCGAAUCCGCCCCUAGCUACCA